rnacentral:rRNA from 1 species
CUGGGCGUAAGCGUGCGUAGGUGGUUAGAUUAGUUGGGUGUGAAAGCCCCGGGCUCAACCUGGGAACUGCAUUCAAUACUGUCUAGCUAGAGUAUGGUAGAGGGAAGUGGAAUUCUGCAUGUAGCGGUGAAAUGCGUAGAGAUGCAGAGGAACACCAGUGGCGAAGGCGACUUCCUGGACCAAUACUGACGCUGAGGUACGAAAGCGUGGGGAGCAAACAGGAUUAGAUACCCUGGUAGUCCACGCCGUAAACGAUGACAACUAGCUGUUGGGAUUGUAGUGAUCUUAGUAGCGAAGCUAACGCGUUAAGUUGUCCGCCUGGGGAGUACGGCCGCAAGGUUAAAACUCAAAGAAAUUGACG